UGGGGAAUAUUGGACAAUGGGCGCAAGCCUGAUCCAGCCAUGCCGCGUGAGUGAUGAAGGCCUUAGGGUUGUAAAGCUCUUUCACCGAUGAAAAUAAUGACGGUAGUCGGAGAAGAAGCCCCGGCUAACUUCGUGCCAGCAGCCGCGGUAAUACGAAGGGGGCUAGCGUUGUUCGGAUUUACUGGGCGUAAAGCGCACGUAGGCGGUUUGUUAAGUCAGGGGUGAAAUCCCAGAGCUCAACUCUGGAACUGCCUUUGAUACUGGCAAGCUAGAGUCCGGAAGAGGUAAGUGGAACUCCUAGUGUAGAGGUGGAAUUCGUAGAUAUUAGGAAGAACACCAGUGGCGAAGGCGGCUUACUGGUCCGGAACUGACGCUGAGGUGCGAAAGCGUGGGGAGUAAAC
rnacentral:rRNA from 1 species